GCUGCUGUAAGAAGAAAGACAGGGAGGUUCAGGGUGGAGCUAAUGAAUUGUAUGUGGCAAUGUACUACUGAGCUAAGUGUGCAGAGAAAAGGAUAAAACAUGACAUUCCAACCCUUAUGAAGUUUAUUUGAAGUCUUUCAGAAUGAAUUAUCUGAACAAUCAGACACUAAACAAACCAUCAGAAGUGUGAUGAGUGCUAUGAACAUGCAGAGAACAUUGCGCUACAAGAGCACCUAGGAGGCAAGGCGAACCUAGUUCAGGCAGUCAGUUAAAAGUUAUCUGACAAGUGGAAUGUUUAAGGGGACCUGGAAUAUAAGUCAGCUGAGUGAAGAGAUGAACAAAGAACUUUCCAGGCAAAGGAGGUGUGAAAGCCUGAGGCAGGAAAGAAGACAGGGUAUUAGAGAAACCAAAAGAAGGUCCACAGAAUCAUGAUGAGCAUUGAGUAAUGUACAGAAUUGUUGAUUCAUUAUGUUGCACACCUGAAACUAAUAUAACACUGCUUUGUUAAUUAUACUUCAAUUGAAAAAAAAAAAAGGCUGAUGCAAUGUAACUAAGGGAAGAGUAGCUGAAAAGACAAGCUAAAACUAGAUCACACCGUCUUACAAGGUUAAACCUUUCCCCUGAUGGCAGUGGGAGGUCAAUGAACGGUAUUAAGCAGGACAGAGAUAUGACAAGAUCUGGGCUUUUAAAAGAUGACUCUUGCUCAAGGUAGAGACUAGACAGAAGAGGAGCCAGAGGAGAUGUGGGGAAGCUAAGGAGACAGGCACCGCAGACAUCUCAACAUCUACAACAGGGAUCCAAGAACAUGUGGGAGUAGCAGAACAUGGGUCAUACUCAAGCAUCCUCCUGAGAGCAGGGAAAGGGCAGAACACCAAUGGCAAAAGUUACUCCUUAACCCAUGGAGUAUUAAAGGUGAUUCCUACCUUAAUAGGGAAGAGGAUGGGAAACCAUGAGAACAUCCCAGGAGAGUGAGUUUCUGGACGGAUACCUGUUUGAAAAAAUAAUGAAAACAUUGAGGUCUCUGUGACUCUGCUUUUUGCCUGGGUUGAGGGGCAUGUCUUCUGUGAACAGAGAAACAAGUAAUCAAAGAUCCCCAUUCAUUGAUUCUUGGGCUCCCUGUGCAUCUAAAUGAAACAUUAACAAAACUGCCCAGGUAACAUACUCAUGCCCUGCCAUCCACUGCCCCAGACACUCACUCAGGGUUAUGUCCUGAUAAAGCACAGUUUCAAAGUAGCCUGCAAAGCCAUGUAGCACUGUGUUCACCUCCACAGGAAACUCCAAGGUGCAAUAGCGGUUGUUGUCAAUCAUAGGAUCUGUCAAGGAAGAGUUAUGUGGAUGACAAGGGGCCAAAAGCUCUAGACAACUUGGUAAAGCAAGAGCAAAAAACAGGAUGGGAAGCCUAGACAGAGCAGACCCAGGAUAGCAAGAGAAGAAGCCAGAAAGCUCCUCCAUCACUUCAUCUUCUCCAGUGCAAGAAAAUAGUUGAUGCUAAUGUAGAAAAAGAAGAUGACUAAAGAGAAAAGAGCUCUCCAGAAGACAGUGGCUCUUUACCUCAGGGUCACGGUCCUUUUCCCGACAGGCACGGACCUCAUUAUACAGCUUGGAGGAGGAGAUGGGAGCCAGAAAGGAGGUAUACUCCCCAGGGAUGCUCACACCAUCAUCUGGAGAGUAGGAGGGUCAUAUUAGUUCCCAAGGGAUGAAAAUGGUGCGUCUAACUGAAGGUUCAAACCUCCUACAUCAAAACAUACCACAUGUGACAACAUGGAGCUGUCUAGGUCUGUUUUGUCUAGGUCCUUUCAUGAGAAAUUCUACUUUGAGGUUAACUUACAGAGACACAGGUUAAAACUGGAAAGAACCUAAGAUAUUCUAAAUCUAGUGGUUCUUAACUUCUGUAGGGUCAUAAAGAACCUUGAUAUAUGGAUGAAAGCUAAGCCCAAGGUACAUAUUACAUCAGCUUAGGGAAUCCACAGACCUCAGACUUAAGGAGGAUCUGCUCUAGUCCACUCCUCUCAUUUUACAGAUGUGAACAGUGAGGUUCAGAGAAGUUACUUCAUUUGCUAGGGCAAUGACCCAAGUCCAACCCACCUUCCUUUAAACCUUGUAACCUCCUCCUAGGCUGCUGCUGCCUCACUCAACCCGCCCCCGCCCCCCAAACUGCCACAGCCUUCCAAGCUGAGAAUCCAUUCCCCUUACUCAGCACAUCCCAGCCUAGAGGCACCUUUUAAGAAGUGUUGGGCUCCAUCCAGGCACUCAGGUGACAGUUCAUUGUCAGCAAAGGAGCCCAAAAGCUCACUGACGAUGAUGUCUGCUUUCUCUGGAGCCACCCAUUCCCGCAUGUCCGAUGAGACUACGGUCACCUGGCUUCCCCAUUCUUCAAAUUGCCAGUUCUCUAGCCUAAAGUAAAGAUAAUGCAAGUGAGGACACUGGUAAGAAAAACUGGCACUGGAGACAAACUCCCAGCAAGGAGGUUGCUACUCACGUCACCACGGCAUUUGGGUUCUUCUCCACAGCAUACAGCUUUAUCCUCCGGUCAGCCUGCUUGGCUGCCCUCAGAGAAGCAUUUACCAGGGGACCCCGGCCUGCUCCCAACACCAUUAGCACUCUAAGAAAGAGGAAGGGUCAAGCUGACUUAGCAGAUAGAGAAGAGGUAUGCAAAUCUCUGGGAUUGUGGGCAAGAGCACUCACUGGACAUUGGUAUCCUUCUCUUCGUCAGGCACUCGAUCUAACAGACAUUUAUAGAUGGCCUGGUGGAGGAAGGAGAAAAGACCUCAUGGCUAUGAUCCCAUCUUCACCCAGGACAUCCCGGCCCUGUACUUGACCCAGACCCACACUAUACCUGCUGAUAUUGAGAGUAUUUGAUGGGGUCCUUUUCAAACACUUCAUAUGUCUGAGAUUCCAGAUUGUCCAUCAGUGGCUGACGAAUGAGAGGAAAAAGGGAAAAUAAGUUAGCCAGUUUCUGGCAAGGGCAACACACCAGAAUACCAAAAAAUUUCCCACUGCUUCCUGAGCUCUGGUAGGAUUUUAGGGCACCUAUGGUCAGAGACUCUUCUCCCACACCUCCCUCCUCUCAGAAUACUCCAGACCCACCUGGAGUGGGGACUGCAGAUAGUCUUCAUAGCCCUUGGCAAAGAGUUCGUAAGCAUUGGGUGGAGGACGGUUCUGGCUCAAGUAUUCCAGGUACUGGAGGUAAGAACAGAACUCCUUCUCUGAGUGGUGGUUGGUGCCUGUGAUGAUGAACUGCACUUCCAGCUGUGAGAGAAGUCAGACCAUCAGGUACAGUCCUCGAACCAAGAUUCUGGGAUAUUGUUAUGGCUUAUGGCCAAAGAACCCUGGCGUAAAAUAAGGCCCAAACGAUCAGUCUUCCAGUUCAACAGAUAUCUCCAAGUAUCAACACAACAGCAUGAAGCUUCAAUAAACUUAUAAAGCCCUCUAAUGCCAUAUAAGCAUCAUCCUGACUCAAACAGCCCCAUCGAUCCUCACUGUAACAUCUUAAAUGAAACCUUCUGCAAAGUUCUCAUGAGAUUUGGUUCCUUUUGAAAUGUUCUGGGGCUCCUCAUCCCAUUCGCCUCUUUGUUCUCAAGAGCUCCAGUUUUGAUGAAAUCGCUCCCCAGAAACCAGAAAGGAAAAGAAUCAGCCUCACAGAAAAGAAAAAAAAAGCACCACACAUAUGUGAAUAAGGCAAGAGGAUUAGCUGGAGUAUCUUUGGAAACCUUCUACCACCCACCUUGAGGAGCCGGAAGAUCAGCCUCUGAUGCAUCUUAGAAAGAACAGGAAAUCCCUUCUUAUUGGUCAGGAAAAUGCUGGUGGGGAGAAUGGCUGCUUUGAUGGGCUCCCCAAGCCAACGAUCAAUGACAUGGUUAGAUGGGAGGUCGGCCCCAAUUUCAAGAGCUACACGAGGGAAAAGAAAGUUAACUACUAUAUAAGAAGGCUUUCCUUGCUUUUUUGUGCAACAUCUGUUUACUCCUUAAGAGCAAGGCCUACUGAGACAUAAAGUAGCAAAACUGCCCAGCAGCCUAGUAUACAUGAAACUCCUUUUUUUUUUUAAACGUUUUUUUUUUUUUAUAUUUGAGACAGGGAGAGACAGAGCAUGAAUAGGGGAGGGUCAGAGAGAGGGAGACACAGAAUCUGAAACAGGCUCCAGGCUCUGAGCUGUCAGCACAGAGCCCGACGCGGGGCUCGAACUCACAGACCGCGAGAUCAUGACCUGAGCCGAAGUCGGCUGCUUAACCGACUGAGCCACCCAGGUGCCCCUGAAACUCCUGAUUUUUUUUUUUUUAACUGUAUCCAGCUUUAUUAAAGACACUUUUCAUAAACAAUCAUGGUAUUUCAGGCAGAACAUGGGCAGACAAUGUUAACAGUAUACAGCAACUUUCAAACUCCUUUCUUUAAUGGACUACCAAAGUCAGAAAGCCAUUUCAUAAAACCCAAUGAAGUCUUCAUUUGAUGCUCUGAACAGGGAAAAGUUUAAAGAAAUUUUAAUAUUUUAUUUAUUUUUGAGAGACAGAGACAGCACAAGUGGGGGGAGGGGCCGAGAGAGAGGGAGACACAGAACUCGAAGGGGGCUCCAGGCUCUGAGCUGUCAGCACAGAGCCCAAAGUAGGUCCCAAACCCAUGAACUGUUGAGAUCAUGACCUAAGCUGAAGCCAGACGCUUAACCGACUGAGCCACCCAAGUGCCUGAACAAGGAAAAGUUCAGAGUAAGGGUUGACAUUUCACAUUUAGCAUGUUGUUAAACAACUUUUCACAAGCCAACCCUGACUUUGAAAUGAAAAUGGCAGAAUUAUCAAUCUGAUGCUCCACAAGCUAAAAGAAGAACUCUUUUGAGGGAUGCCAUCUCCAUGGUGACCCUGCAAAGUCCAGAUUGCCUGACAUACUGGGAACCAUUUUGACACUCGGGUCAGGUUCCAACAGGUCUCUGGGUUUAAGGAAGUCAAAUCUAUGUUGAAGGCAGAGAAGGAGAAGAGGACAUAAAAAAUCAAUUUUAGUUUUUCCACACCAUAAGGUGUCUGUGCCAAGGUGGCUAAUGUGUAUCAUCAUCAAGGAAUCCCUCCUCCUGAGAACCAAAGAGGAAGUUUCUCAGAACUAGAAGGGAAAGGUAUUUUCUCCCCCUUAUCAAUCUAGCUUCAGAGAUAUUCAAUUAGUGACAUUUGUCUUCCCCCUAAAUAACAAUGAAGUGUUCUGUGUACUAACAACAUAGCUUAAAAGAAAAAAAAGUAAA